rnacentral:rRNA from 1 species
AGGGUUCGAUUCUGGCUCAGGAUGAACGCUAGCUACAGGCUUAACACAUGCAAGUCGAGGGGCAUCGAGAAGAAAGCUUGCUUCUUGUCGGCGACCGGCGCACGGGUGAGUAACGCGUAUCCAACCUUCCCUUAGUAGGGCACAGCCCGGCGAAAGUCGGAUUAAUACCCUAUGUUAUUCGUCGAGGACAUCUGAAGUGAAUCAAAGGUUUACCGCUAAGGGAUGGGGAUGCGUCUGAUUAGGUAGUCGGCGGGUAACGGCCCACCGAGCCAACGAUCAGUAGGGGUUCUGAGAGGAAGGUCCCCCACAUUGGUACUGAGACACGGACCAAACUCCUACGGGAGGCAGCAGUGAGGAAUAUUGGUCAAUGGGCGAGAGCCUGAACCAGCCAAGUAGCGUGCAAGGAUGACGGCCCUAUGGGUUGUAAACUGCUUUUGCAGGGGAAUAAAGUGAGGCACGUGUGCCUUUUUGUAUGUACCCUGAGAAUAAGGACCGGCUAAUUCCGUGCCAGCCGCAGC